rnacentral:rRNA from 1 species
CUACGUGCCAGCAGCCGCGGUAAUACGUAGGGUGCGAGCGUUAAUCGGAAUUACUGGGCGUAAAGCGAGCGCAGACGGUUACUUAAGCAGGAUGUGAAAUCCCCGGGCUCAACCUGGGAACUGCGUUCUGAACUGGGUGACUAGAGUGUGUUAGAGGGAGGUAGAAUUCCACGUGUAGCAGUGAAAUGCGUAGAGAUGUGGAGGAAUACCGAUGGCGAAGGCAGCCUCCUGGGAUAACACUGACGUUCAUGCUCGAAAGCGUGGGUAGCAAACAGGAUUAGAUACCCUGGUAGUCCACGCCCUAAACGAUGUCAAUUAGCUGUUGGGCAGCAUGACUGCUUAGUAGCGAAGCUAACGCGUGAAAUCGACCGCCUGGGGAGUACGGUCGCAAGAUUAAAACUCAAAGGAAUUGACGGGGACCCGCMCAAGCGGUGGAUGAUGUGGAUUAAUUCGAUGCAACGCGAAGAACCUUACCUGGUUUUGACAU